UGCUUGUCAUUGCUUGCUUGUUUUCAACGCCUUCUCGCCAACACCAACCGAAUAUGUCCGACCAUAAAUCGCGUGCAGAGAAUCACGGAGAAGAGGGAAAGCUGGUCACAAAAUCCGUCUAGUACUCCCCAAUUUCAAGCCGUUGGAUGGAGAAAUAGACAUGGAUUGGUCCCACAAAGAGAAAACGGCUGUAAUAUCUUCCAUAUUCAAUUCAACCUCUUAUAUUUGACCCCUCUCUGGCGUCUGAAUUCAAAUCCCCCCCUCUCUCUCGCUCGCUCGCUCGCAUCACAGUAUUUUCAUGGAUUAGCUGUGAAGGUCAAUUUUUCUCCUGCAAUUUGUCUGUGGUUUUUAGUGUCGAAGAGUGUUCUGAUGAAGAGGUAUCGAAAUGGAGAAAUUUGGGACUUCGAGCGCGAAAUGCCCGUUAGUCGAGAUGGGUCGGACGUCAUUCUCGGGUUGGAUGGAGGAGCGACUUCGACGGUGUGCGUUUGCUUGCCAGUCAUGCCCUGCUCCGAGCAACUUCCCGACCCACUUCCCGUUCUCGCGAGGGCUGUCGCGGGUUGUUCCAACCACAACAGUGUUGGAGAAAGUGCAGCAAGGGAGACAUUGGAACAAGUGAUGGCAGAAGCCCUUUCAAAGGCUGGUUCUAAUCGAUUUGCUGUACGUGCUGUUUGCUUAGCAGUAUCUGGUGUUAACCAUCCUAUAGAUCAGCAACAUAUAUUGAACUGGCUUAGGGACGUAUUCCCAAGCCAUGUAAAAUUAUUUGUCCACAAUGACGCUGUGGCAGCUCUAGCAAGUGGGACAAUGGGGAACCUUCAUGGCUGUGUAUUAAUUGCAGGUACAGGAACAAUCUCUUAUGGGUUCACCGAAGAUGGGAGAGAAGCUCGAGCUGCUGGUGCUGGACCUAUCUUAGGCGAUUUGGGGAGUGGUUAUGGGAUUGCUGCUCAAGCACUGACGGCAGUAAUCAGAGCCUAUGAUGGUCGUGGCAAAGAAUCAAUGCUUACAUCUAUGAUUCUUGAUACACUUGGUCUUUCUUCACCAGAUGAACUCAUUGGGUGGACCUACGCAGAUCCAUCUUGGGCUCGUAUUGCAGCACUUGUUCCAGUGGUAGUAUCUUGUGCAGAAGCUGGUGAUCAAGUAGCGAAUAAAAUAUUAUUAGAUUCAGUUGAUGAACUGGCUGCAAGUGUAAAAGCUGUUGUUCGGAGACUUGAAUUAUGUGGUAAAGCCUGAAUGCUGGCUAUAUAUUCAACUUAUAUUUAUUAAAUGGAGUAGUGCUACGAGUUCUGUUCAACUUAAAAGAUAAUGGAAUUAAGCAUGUACAUCCUUGAGCUUCAAGGUUGGUUUAUCAACUUGUUAUUAGCACAAACAUGAUCAACUGGGACAGGGUUUGCAUCCGCCCCCACCGGUUUGCCCCCAAAAAACAUCCCACGGACUCAUAGCAUGCCGCGUGUCCUCCCGCACACGAAUUAGACUCUCUCGUGCGGAGUUAACCCACUUCGCCCUAAAGGUCAUCCCCUCUCAGACUCUCACUCCUUUCUCUCUCUUGAAUUUCAUCUUCACUUGAACCUUCGACCUUCCGUUCUCAGUACUGAAACUGGCCGGAGCUUGCCCCCUUCGAGUUCCACCAGUCAACGCCGACGAUCGUUCUGGCAGAUUUAUUUAACGGAGGCUCAUCUGAUCCGAUUAACCUCAUCUUUGACACUUUUAAUCCUCAGAAUGUUUGGAUUAACAUUCUUGCAGCUUCAACAGCAACCUGGUCCCAGGAUAGUUCAUAGUCUGCACCUGUCCCUCCCUCUGCACCCAAUACAGCUUCAGCACUUGUUGCUGCUGCAAAGGCCAAAGGCCUUGCUCCUGUGGGAUCAUAGUACAAGUGGGUAAGACUUUGGUUAACUCGUUGCAAAAGCCAAAGGCCAAAGGCCAAAGGCCUUGCUCUUGGCGGAACUCGAAGGGGGGCAAGCUUCGGCGGGUUUCAGAUCUGAGCACGGAAGGUAGAAAAUCAGAAAAAACAAAAAACAACGUAAAAAAUGAGAAAAAAUAGAUGUGAGAACUGAGAAUGUGAGCAUCUGAGAGAGAGAGGUUGAAGGGGGGCGUUCUUAGAACGAAAGGUUGAAGGUUCAAGUGAGGUUGAAAUUUGAGAGAGAGAGAGAGAGAGAGAGAGAGAGGAGUGAGCAUCUGAGAGGGGAUGACCUUUUGGGCGAAGUGGGUUAGCUCCGCAUGAGAGUCUAAUUCAUGUGUGGGAGGACACACGGUGCGCUGUGAGUCCGUGGGAUGUUUUCGGGGGGCCAACCUGUGGGGGGCGGAUGCGAACCCACUGGGACAUUGAUCUGUGAUCACCGAUGGUUGAGCAUUCUUUUGAAUGGAUAGUAGCAAAAUGUAGUGCUAGAACUUGGCUAAUGCAUCAAGGUCCAUGCAUCUGGUUGAUAAGUGUUCCAUGCAUAUGGCCUGGUGGUGUAAGAGUUAUCAUCCUUUGUGCUCCAUCAUUGUAUGUUUUUUUCCCCAAAAUAAAUAAAUGAUACUUAAUAGUUUUACAGGGGAACAUAUUCUAAUGAAGUUUUUUGACCUCUGUCUGCAAGUUCGUUCUAUUUGCUUAUAAAUUCAUCCCAAUCAUAAUAUUUCGUAGAUAUGGGGUAGAUAUCUCAGUUUCAGUGCCUAUUUAUUAGAACAUAGUUUUUCAUAUUUUAUGGGGUUGCAUCUAAAUGAGUAUGUAUGGAAUUAGAAAAUUAUUAAAUUGAAGCCUGUUCUAUGAGAAACUUGACUUGCCUGUUGUAGCUAUCUGAACUUGCGUUCUAGAACUUGGUGAGUUUUGUUGUUAUCGCUAAAUGUUA